rnacentral:misc_RNA from 1 species
GAUGAAGAACGCAGCGAAAUGCGAUAAGUAAUGUGAAUUGCAGAAUUCAGUGAAUCAUCGAAUCUUUGAACGCACAUUGCGCCCCCUGGUAUUCCGGGGGGCAUGCCUGUCCGAGCGUCAUUGCUGCCCUCAAGCACGGCUUGUGUGUUGGGCCUCCGUCCUCCUCCCGGGGGACGGGCCCGAAAGGCAGCGGCGGCACCGCGUCCGGUCCUCGAGCGUAUGGGGCUUCGUCACCCGCUCUUGUAGGCCCGGCCGGCGCUUGCCGACACAUCAAUCUUUUUUCCAGGUUGACCUCGGAUCAGGUAGGGAUACCCACUGAACUUAAGCAUAUCAAUAAGCGGAGGA